UUUGGGAAUGGAACUCAACUGACCGUGGAGCCAAAUAUUUCAAAAUCUUCUGACCCUCAAGUCAUUGUGAUGAAAUCACAGAAACUGGAAGAAGGCAACAGCACUGGGAAAGCAGCUUGUUUGGCAAGGAACUCCCCUACAAAGAACAUCAGCUUGGAGAUGCCCUCUCAGGAGGUCGUCUAUGAACAGGGCACAUCCAUUUUGACAUCAGAGGGGUUGUACAAUGCAAUUAAAGUGGUCAGGCUGACAAAAGACACAGAGGUGACCUGCAUGGCCAAAUUCAACAACCGCGCCAUAACAGCACAGCCAGAGGAGGAGGCUGAAGAACCAGUAACAGGGGCCAGUGUCAGGAUUUGCAGCAGCACAGCCUCCUCAGCACAAGACCCUGAAGAGCAGAGAGUGAACAUGCUGUCCAUGGCUGUGCUGGGUUUGAGAGUUUUGCUGGCAAAGAGCAUCGCCUUCAAUAUCCUCAUGAGUAUCAAAUUGGUUCUUUUCUGAGACAUGGGGAAUGAAGCCCAAGGAGAGCAGGAAAGAAUGUGAACCAGCAGCACAAGGGGGUGGAACAAGCAGGGGCAGAGCUGCUGGCAGACACCACCCAGGACACAAGGCAGCACCUUCCCCUGAAGACACUGAACACUCUUCACUCCUGCCUGGCCAGCUGAUUUACACUGAAGAGUUUCAAGUGCUUUUGCUCUUUCCUCUCCUCUGACAACUGAGGAGAGUGGAUUUCUCCUCAUCCUCCUGCUAAGCAGAUCUCCCCACUCUUCUGGCAUUUGCACACAAGUGUCCAACCUGCUUCAACAGCUUUGGAAACUCCAGGGCUCACUCUAGAUAGAUGGCCUUUUAAAAGCACCUUUCCAGGCUUGCUGUGUUUCUGCCUGUGGAACUGGAGUAGCACUGCUGAGGCAAUUCAAGCCCAGUAGCUGCCAUUUGUAGCUUUGCAUUUAGAUAGAUUUAAUAACAAAAAAUGUGAAUUGCAAUUAAGAAGAGCUCUGUAGAAUCUGGAGUGAUUUCAUUCAACUAGAUAUUGUUCAUUUCUUGAUUAAGCCUUUAUUUCCUCUGUCAAAUGUAUUACAUGUGAAUUUUAGG